rnacentral:rRNA from 1 species
UACAGAGGGUGCAAGCGUUAAUCGGAAUUACUGGGCGUAAAGCGCACGUAGGUGGCUGGGUAAGUUGGAUGUGAAAUCCCCGGGCUUAACUUGGGAAUUGCACUCAAGACUGCCUUGCUAGAGUGUGGAAGAGGGAAGCGGAAUUCCAGGUGUAGCGGUGAAAUGCGUAGAUAUCUGGAGGAACAUCAGUGGCGAAGGCGGCUUCCUGGUCCAACACUGACACUGAGGUGCGAAAGCGUGGGGAGCAAACAGG